CAGUCGCCACGGUAAUACGAAGGGGGCUAGCGUUGUUCGGAAUUACUGGGCGUAAAGCGCACGUAGGCGGAUAUUUAAGUCAGGGGUGAAAUCCCAGAGCUCAACUCUGGAACUGCCUUUGAUACUGGGUAUCUUGAGUAUGGAAGAGGUGAGUGGAAUUCCGAGUGUAGAGGUGAAAUUCGUAGAUAUUCGGAGGAACACCAGUGGCGAAGGCGGCUCACUGGUCCAUUACUGACGCUGAGGUGCGAAAGCGUGGGGAGCAAACAGAAUUAGAUACCCCCGUAGUCCCUGUCUCUUAUAC
rnacentral:rRNA from 1 species